rnacentral:rRNA from 1 species
CCUACGGGUGGCAGCAGUGGGGAAUAUUGCACAAUGGGGGAAACCCUGAUGCAGCGACGCCGCGUGAAGGAGGAAUUCUCUCGGUAUUUAAAGCUCUAUCAGUAGGGAAGUAAAUUACGGUACCUGACUAAUAAGCCCCGGCUAACUACGUUCCAGCAGCCGCGGUAAUACGUAGGGGGCAAGCGUUAUCCGGAUUUACUGGGUGUAAAGGGAGCGUAGACGGCUAAUCAAGUCAGUAGUUAAAAUCAAGGGCUCAACUUUGGAACUGCUUUUGAAACUGAGUAGCUAGAGUGCAGGAGAGGUAGGCGGAAUUCCUGGUGUAGCGGUGAAAUGCGUAGAUAUUAGGAGGAACUCCAGUGGCGAAGGCAGCUCACUGGACUGUAACUGACGUUGAGGCUCGAAAGUGUGGGGAGCAAACAGGAUUAGAUACCCUGGUAGUC